GGACCCCUAUGAUGUCCAGCACAGCUCUGACCAACGCUGAGGACACAGUGCUUCCUGAGACCUUUGACACCCAGAGUUCUGAGGGGCAC